CCAUAGCGACUAUCGUGGCAUAUCAAUAAGCGGAGGAAAAGAAACUAACUAGGAUUCCCUUAGUAACGGCGAGUGAAGCGGGAAGAGCUCAAAUUUGAAAUCUUCAAGGUUUUACCUUGACGAAUUGUAGUUUAAAGAAGUGUUUUCUGUUGAAGUUUUGGUAAAAGUUCUUUGGAAUAGGACAUCAUAGAGGGUGAGAAUCCCGUAUUUGACCGUUACUUUUCCAACUGUGUGAUACACUUUCAAAGAGUCGGAUUGUUUGGGAAUGCAGUCCAAAAUGGGUGGUAAAUUUCAUCUAAAGCUAAAUAUUGGCGAGAGACCGAUAGCGAACAAGUACCGUGAGGGAAAGAUGAAAAGAACUUUGAAAAGAGAGUUAAACAGUACGUGAAAUUGUCAAAAGGGAAGCGUUUGACACCAGUGUUGUUUUUCUCGAAAAUCAAUUAAAAAUGAUGGAUUUUGUAGGUUGUAUUGACUUUAUCAGCUUCUGCACUUUAGUUUCUGGUAUCUUUUUGAUGCACUUUUCGGUUAACAAGUCAACAUCAAUUUCUUUUGUUGUAAAAGAGUCAUUGGAAGGUGGCUUUUUCUUCGGAAAAAGUGUUUAUAGCCUUUGGCUUCUGCAAUCGGAGAGAUUGAGGUCUGCAGCGUAGAUCCUUCGGGGUUAGAUACAUUUGUGCUAAGCUAUAGUUCUUUAUAGACAACUUGUUGACUAUAAUCAAUCCUGUAACUUACUCGCUUAUGCUAUUUUACCUACGCUUAGGAUGUUGAUAUGCAUGACUGAUAU
rnacentral:rRNA from 1 species